GGAUUCCUGAGCUGGUGGGAUUGCACCAUGGCCUGGGCCCUUCUCCUCGCAGUGCUUGCCCACAGCUCAGGUUCCCUGGUCCAGGCAGCGCUGACUCAGCCUCCUGAGAUAUCGGCCAAGGUGGGAGACACGGUCAGGAUCACCUGCUCCGGUAGCAACAGCUACUAUGGCUGGUACCAGCAGAAGGUCCCUGGCAGUGGCCCUGUCACUGUGAUCUACAACAAUAACCAGAGACCCUCGGGCAUCCCUUCGCGAUUCUCUGGCUCUGGGGGCACGUUAACCAUCACUGGGGUCCAAGCCGAGGACGAGGCUGUCUAUUUCUGUGGUGGCAGGGACAGCAGUGGUGCUGGUUAUAGUGACAAAGAGAUUUUCAAGUGAUUGUACAGAGGAAGU